rnacentral:lncRNA from 1 species
AAAUGGCUUCAUGACUUUGCAAAGUAAUCAUUUUUGAGAAAGUACUGCGUUAUAAAUAAAUCCGAGUACA